rnacentral:rRNA from 1 species
AGAAAUCGUUAAGGGCGUAUGGCGGAUGCCUAGGCUUUCAGAGGCGAAGAAGGACGUGGUAAGCUGCGAAAAGCUACGGGGAUUGGCACACACGAAAUAAUCCGUAGAUAUCCGAAUGGGGCAACCCAGUAAGUUGAAGACUUACUACACCGUAAGGUGAGCAAACCCGGAGAACUGAAACAUCUAAGUACCCGGAGGAAAAGAAAUCGAAGAGAUUCCGUAAGUAGUGGCGAGCGAAAGCGGAUUAGCCCAAAAGUUUGUAUAUGUUUAGUGGAAUGUUUUGGAAAGAACAAUCGUAGAAGGUGAAAAUCCUGUACACGAAAGGCAUAUAUAGAUGAAGAAAGAGUAGGGCGGGACACGUGAAAUCCUGUCUGAAUAUGGGGGGACCAUCCUCCAAGGCUAAAUACUCCUGAAAGACCGAUAGUGAACAAGUACUGUGAAGGAAAGGUGAAAAGCACUUCGAAUAGAAGGGUGAAAGAGAACCUGAAACCGUACGCCUACAAGCGGUCGGAGCAGUUAUAUACUGUGACGGCGUGCCUUUUGCAUAAUGAGCCUACGAGUUAAUUUUACUAGCGAGGUUAAGGCAUUAAGUGCCGGAGCCGGAGCGAAAGCGAGUCUGAAUAGGGCGAAUAGUUAGUGGGAUUAGACGCGAAACCUUGUGAUCUACCCAUGGGCAGGUUGAAGCACUGGUAACACAGUGUGGAGGACCGAACCGGUUGACGUUGAAAAGUCUUCGGAUGACCUGUGGGUAGGGGUGAAAGGCCAAUCAAACUGGGAGAUAGCUCGUACUCCCCGAAAUGCAUUUAGGUGCAGCGUUGAUUUAGUUUAUUAGAGGUAGAGCUACUGAUUGGAUGCGGGGGUUUCACCGCCUACCAAUUCCUGACAAACUCCGAAUGCUAAUAAAUAUUGAUCAGCAGUGAGGGCAUGGGUGCUAAGGUCCAUGUCCGAGAGGGAAAGAACCCAGACCAACAGCUAAGGUCCCUAAAUAUAUGCUAAGUUGAAACAACGCGGUUGAACUGCAUUGACAGCUAGGAUGUUGGCUUGGAAGCAGCCAUUCAUUUAAAGAGUGCGUAACAGCUCACUAGUCGAGCGGUUCGGCAUGGAUAAUAAUCGGGCAUAAGCAUAUUACCGAAGCUAUGGCAACGAAAGUUGGGUAGGGGAGCAUUCUAUCGGCGCAGAAGCAUCACUGUGAGGUGAUGUGGAGCUUAUAGAAAAGAAAAUGUAGGCAUAAGUAACGAUAAAGCAGGUGAGAAACCUGCUCACCGAAAGACUAAGGGUUCCUCAGCCAUGCUAAUCAGCUGAGGGUUAGUCGGGACCUAACGCGAACCCGAGAGGGGAAGUGGAUGGACAAUGGGUUAAUAUUCCCAUACUUGCUCACGAAUAAAGGGGACGGUUCAGCUAGACUACUGGAGACUGACGGAAUAGUCAAGACCUAGCCUACGGGCGAAGUUGUUGUAGAGUAACUGGAUCCAAGAAAAGCCGAAGUGAAGCAACCCGUACCAUAAACCGACACAGGUAGUCGAGGAGAGAAUCCUAAGGUGCUCGAGUGAGUCGUGGCUAAGGAACUAGGCAAAAUAGUCUCGUAACUUCGGAAUAAGAGACGCCAACAGCGAUGUUGGCCGCAGUGAAGAGGCCCAGGCGACUGUUUAUCAAAAACACAGGACUCUGCUAAAUCGAAAGAUGCUGUAUAGGGUCUGACACCUGCCCGGUGCUGGAAGGUUAAGGAAGGUGCUUAGCGUAAGCGAAGGCAUUGACUGAAGCCCCAGUAAACGGCGGCCGUAACUAUAACGGUCCUAAGGUAGCGAAAUUCCUUGUCGGGU